UUAAUUGAAGCCAAAAAGAGGCUUAUUAUUGUUAAUAAUAAAACUGAAUAAAAAUUCCAAUUAAA
rnacentral:tRNA from 1 species